AGCGAACGCUGGCGGCAGGCCUAACACAUGCAAGUCGAACGAACCUUUCGGGGUUAGUGGCGGACGGGUGAGUAACACGUGGGAACGUGCCUUUAGGUUCGGAAUAACUCAGGGAAACUUGUGCUAAUACCGAAUGUGCCCUUCGGGGGAAAGAUUUAUCGCCUUUAGAGCGGCCCGCGUCUGAUUAGCUAGUUGGUUGAGGUAAUGGCUCACCAAGGCGACGAUCAGUAGCUGGUGUGAGAGGAUGAUCAGCCACAUUGGGACUGAGACACGGCCCAAACUCCUACGGGAGGCAGCAGUGGGGAAUCUUGCGCAAUGGGCGAAAGCCUGACGCAGCCAUGCCGCGUGAAUGAUGAAGGUCUUAGGAUUGUAAAAUUCUUUCACCGGGGACGAUAAUGACGGUACCCGGAGAAGAAGCCCCGGCUAACUUCGUG
rnacentral:rRNA from 1 species